UUCUUUACUUUUUUGCACAGCAUUAGCGCACUUUUCAUUCCACCAUGGAAGAGGAGAAUAUCGAUAUUUAGGAUGGUUUCCUGCUGGCUUACUAUUAUUAUUUACAUUAUGGGAUUUAGUUCUAAACAUAGAUAGAUCUACCACUUUAUUUAAAAUGGUACAGAAGUCAUAGUACGACUGUAAAGGAUCAGAACAAUUAACAUUAAAUUCUUUAAUUAAAUUAUUGGCUAGCUUUGAGUAAUUUGCCCAAUUUAUUAGACGUAAGUUUGGUCUUUUUACUUCUUUUAUGUAAUCUUGAGAAGUAAAGUUGUUUAAAGAUGGAUCGCUAACUGUAUUAUAUAGAAUAUCUGUUAUUGUGGGAAGAUGAUAACUUCCCAGGGGAUCAUCAUGAACUGUCCAGUUACAAUUAAGAGCUAUAGAAGGACUAACUAUUGUCAAAUCUAAACCAUUUGGUCUCCAGAUAUUUGUUCCUACUGUGGUUGGUGAAGUGUCAUUUAAUAAAACUAAAUUGCAAUCAUUUAUAGAGUCCAGGACAUCUCUUCCACGAGCACUGACGGAUUGACAGCCCCAAAUGGUGUGAUGAGCAUUAAAAUCGCCUGAUACAAAACAUGGUUUAGAUGGAGCAGCGUUCCGAGUUCUUACAAAACUUUGCUAAAUGGCCAUACCUGAGACACCGGAAACAUUGCUUGACUGGAGGAACAUACGCUGUAAUAUCAUGCCGCCAACCGUCCAAGUCGACGUAGUCUGGAAGUACUGACGUCGCGAAGGUGAUGGCUACAGUCUGCAGGGGCUGUAGAAUAAAAUUGUUGUCAAUCUUUGUCCUCUUUGUAAAUCUCCUUACAGAUAUGAUCUUCUUGUAACUAGACAGCAUGGUGAAGAUUUUUUUGUUAGUCAGGUUGAUAGGCACAUUUUUAAUAAUACCAGUAAUUUCUGUGCUUUGUGCUGGAAUGUUAGCCUUAAAUUGAUAAUCCUUUAGAAACGUGGAAUUAUUCAGAAAGGCAUUUGCAAGGCUGGCCUUUUCAAAAUAAAUUGCAAUUUUAAAUUUGUUCAUCGAUCUUAAGUAUUUUACCCCUUUAUUGAAUCGUUUAAUGCAACUCGAUAUGGACAUAAGGUCUCUGGUUCCGAUGGGCAUCUCCGCAUUAGACGACUCUACGAAAACUACAAAUUCUGCAGCUCCGGAAUCCUCUGGGUAACGCCUCUUGUAAUCUGUAACUAAGUAAGGUUUUGAAAUAUCCAAAACUUCGACCUCUGAUUCGGAGGACGUCGUAUCGACGUCGGACUUUUCACCCUCAUCAUCCUUCUUCCUUUUUUUCUUGUUCUCACCUUCCCCAUUGCUAUUUUUUAAUUUAUUGUGUAUGUAACAAACUUUUUAUUGGUUUUAUUAGUAAUUUACGUAUUUGCAGUAGUUUUAAUUAAUAUUAUUAAUAAAUUUUUCGAAAAUCCC